AAACGAACGAAUGAACGAUCGAGCGAGGCAGGGGCAGUGAGGCCGAAGCCCUAAGUGGCGCACGCUCCUCUUCUCCUCCACCGCCAUCGCUGCUGGCGCCGGCGUUUUCACUCUCCGUUGCGGUAGCGCCGCUUUCAAGACGUCGCUCUCUUCGCUUCGCUUAAACCUUCCACCUCCUCGUGCAGCCGGGAUCCGAAGUACCCCAAAAACGAGAGGAAACCAAGUAUCAGGACGCCUUCUACAAGUACCACCACAAUAAGGUCCCUUUCUCUCUUUCUAUGUUCCUUGUUUCUCUUUCUUUCUGGAUGAUUUUUGCGUUUUCGAUUGAUCAAAGGAUUCUUGUCAGAGUUCUUCAAGAUUCGCCUUACUUGUAGAAGGAUUGGGAACACCACUUCUUGGUGAGUAUAAUCAACUCGCCAAGAUCCUUCCACCUUAUUGUACAACCAGGGAUCGGAAAACCACUUCUUGGUGAGUAUAAUCAACCCGUCAAGGGUGUCUUUUUUUUUUUGUGUAAUUUUGGAUGCUUGGAUUCCAAUAUUUAUGGUAUUUCUCGUCUUACCUAGCCAUCCGGUGAGAACGAUCGCGCUUCUGGAGGCAAGUUCUUGAUAGAUGGGCUUUCUUCUCUUUCUUUUUUUUUGGUAGAUAUCGUAUUAGAUGCUUCGGAUAACGUACUACUCUUCCAAAGAUGCAAUCUUAUGCCUUGAUUUGAUUUGCUGUAUGAAUCAAGGUCCCAGACAAGGCAAACUGCAAGGAGACCUUGGUUUAGGGAGGCUUUGUGCUGGACACCAUUUGAUCUUUGUGUCAAGAUCUGUCUAGUAUUUGGUCAUAUGUUCUCAUCAAGAUAUAAUCAACUCGUCAAGAUCUGUCUAGUAUUUGGUAAUAUGUUCUCAUCCAGGUAUGAUAAACUCGUCAAGAUCCUUCCACCUUAUUGUACAACUGGGGUUCCAAAGUACCCCAAGCACGUGAGCAACUCAAAUGUCGGGACGCCUUCUACAAAUACCACC
rnacentral:lncRNA from 1 species